CAAAAAUUAAAAAUACAUCGUGAGAGUGUAUUAAUUUUGCUUAUUUCAGGACUUUUUAUAGCAUUAUCGAGAAAAAUAAAUUAGGAUUUCAAUGUUUUUGGAAUAAGUUACCAAAAUGUCUUUUUCGUUCGGAUCGACCAACACAGUAUCACAAAGCACAAGUUUCGGUGCCGCUGGUUCUAAACCCAUGUUUUCCUUUGGGAGUGCAAAUACAAAUACCACAAGCAGCGCCGGCGGAUUUGGUACGUCCACGGUAUCGUCCGGCUUUGGGACAUUCGGCACACCAGCUACUAACACAGCUGCACCAUUUGGGGCAUUAAAUACCACUCCGGCUACUUCUGCUUCCCUCUUCUCUGGGUUUGGGAAUAAUGCUGCAAAACCAAAUACAGGUUUCGGAACAGGGGCUUUUGGUGCCACCGGAACCAGUUUUGGAGCAACACCAGCGUUUGGAAGCACUGCACCCACAUUUGGAGCGGGUGCACCCUCAUUUGGCAGUAACGCACCAGCUUUUGGAACAAACACUUUAGGAUCUAAUACCUUUGGUACCGGUUCCACAUUUGGGACAGCCUUCGGUACUAAACCAGCCACAUCUGGUUUUGGUGGAUUUGGUACUGGUCUCGGCACAACCAAUACUUUUGGACAGCAACAACAGCAGCAAAUGCAGCAACAACAACAGGGGCCCACAAAUGCUCACGAGGCGCUGGUGACAGCUGUUUUUAACUGUUGUGUGUUUGGUGAUGAACGAGACCAAGUGUUGGCUAAAUGGAACCUGUUGCAGGCUCAGUGGGGUACUGGUCAAGCUUACUACAGUCGAAAUGCACCAGCGCUGGAGUUAAAUGAACAAAAUCCACUUUGUCGUUUCAAAGCUGUUGGCUAUUCAAGGCUGGGAGGCAAGGAAGAUAAAGAUGGUCAUGUUGCCUUGAUAUUUAAUAAGCCUGAGCAAGAAAUUAAGACUAAUCAGCAGUCGCUAACAACGUCUCUUUUUGGUCUUUUGGGAAACAAACCAAAUUUAGCAGUAAAUAUUGAAUCUAUCAAGGGAGUUACAGAGAACAAAACACAGGUUGUGAUAUACGUGGUGAACAACGCGGCAGGUGGGACACAUGUGGGCGCCAACGAGCUGAGUACGUUCCUGAAUGGGGCGGGGCCUCGGGCGUCGCUGUCCGGCGCCGCCUGCGCUGCUGUCACCCCCGUCACGCGCCCCACCCACGCCAUGCUCGAGCAGUACCUAGCUACACCCCCGCCUGGCAUGGACAUGAGAUUGUGGAAACAGGCGCAGGCCGACAACCCGGAUCCAGCUAAUUACAUUCCAGUUCCCAUUAUUGGAUUUUCAGAGAUAAAGUUCCGUGCAAAGUGUCAGGCUGAAGAGGCGGCGCUACAGGCGGGCUGGCUGCGGCGCGCGGCAGAGACGCUGGGCGAGCUGCGCACGCGCCGCGCCGCUAGCAGCGCCGCACUCGCCGGCCUCGCUGCCCGCCUACACUCACUGCGACACACUCUGCUGCAGGUGAUAGCCCGGCAGGAGGUGGCGGGUCGGGUGGGCGUCGGCCUCACGCCGGAGGAGGAGUCUGUGCGGGCGCGGCUACAGGAGCUCACCUCGCAGCUCUCCGCGCCGCCGCUAUACAACGGUCGUCUGAACGAGCUAUUGUGUGCGGUGCGACUGCAGCGCAGCGCCAGCGCCGGCGCGCCGCACGAGAGAUACCACUUGGAUCCGGGGGCGCAAGAAGACGUGAAACAGUUCCUAACCCUGCAGCAGCGCGGGAUGGCUCAUCUGCUAGACACAGCCAAGAAGGACCUAGCGGCUCUCAACACCAUUCAAGAGGGCAUGGCCAAGCUGGUGCGAGCUUAGCACACCUCAGUGCUAGGGGACUCACCCACCUAUGUCCAGUGGUUCCAGUGAGUUCUGGUUCCGGUGAGUUGCAGUGACUAUUCUGAACUGGUUAUUAUGACAGUGAGAUAUUCAAUACAGUAAUUGUUUCUACAAAAUCAAUAUAAUAAAGAAGUGUUCUUUCGACAGUUUCUUU